rnacentral:lncRNA from 10 species
UUCAAGUCACAGAGGUGAACAUUCCCUUUCAUACAGCAGUUUUGAAACACUCUUUUUGUAGAAUCUGCAUGUGGAUUUGGAUAGCUUUGAGGAUUUCGUUGCAAAGGGGAAUAUCUCUAUAUAAAAUCUAGACAGAAGCAUUCACAGAAACAUCCUUGGGGUGUUAGCAUUCAAGUCACAGAGUGGAACAUUCACUUUCAUAGAGCAGGUUUGAAACACUAUUUUUG